AGGGUUUGAUCUUGGCUCAGAACGAACGCUGGCGGCGUGGAUUAGGCAUGCAAGUCGAACGAGGAUAUAUCCUUCGGGAUAUAAGCCGAGUGGCGCAAGGGUGAGUAAUGCAUAGAUUACCUGCCUCUAGGAUAAGGACAACUUUGUGAAAACGAAGCUAAUACUUAAUAAUACAAAAGAAAAUAAUUUUCUUUUGUCAAUGGGAGGGUAGCAAUACCUUUUGCCUAGAGAGGGGUUUAUGUCCUAUCAGCUUGUUGGUGGGGUAAUGGCCUACCAAGGCGAAGACGGGUAGCCGGUCUUAGAGGAUGGUCGGCCACACUGGGACUGAGACACUGCCCAGACUUCUACGGAAGGCUGCAGUCGAGAAUCUUUCGCAAUGCCCGAAAGGGUGACGAAGCGACGCCGCGUGAGUGAGGAAGGCCUUCGGGUUGUAAAGCUCUGUCAGGUGUUAAGAAAUAUAAGUGUGCUAAUACCACAUUUAUUUGACGAAGGCACCAAAGGAAGCCACGGCUAACUCUGUGCCAGCAGCCGCGGUAAUACAGAGGUGGCAAGCGUUGUUCGGAAUUAUUGGGCGUAAAGAGCACGUAGGUGGGUUUGUAAGUCAGAUGUGAAAGCCUUCUGUUCAACGGAAGAAUUGCAUCUGAAACUACAAGUCUUGAGUGUAGGAGGGGAGAAUGGAACUUCUGGUGGAGCGGUGAAAUGCGUAGAUAUCAGAAGGAACGCCGGCGGCGAAAGCGAUUCUCUGGCCUAUUACUGACACUCAGUGUGCGAAAGCUAGGGGAGCAAACGGGAUUAGAUACCCCGGUAGUCCUAGCCGUAAACGAUGGGCACUAAGUAGAGGGAAUUACCGAUGUUCUCUCUGCCGUAGCUAACGCAUUAAGUGCCCCGCCUGGGGAGUACGGCCGCAAGGCUAAAACUCAAAAGAAUUGACGGGGGCUCGCACAAGCGGUGGAGCAUGUGGCUUAAUUCGAUGCAACGCGAAGAACCUUACCGGGGCUUGACAUGGUAGAAGUAGGAACCCGAAAGGGUAACGAACGGUAUCCAGUCCGUAACUAUCACAGGUGUUGCAUGGCUGUCGUCAGCUCGUGUCGUGAGACGUUGGGUUAAGUCCCCUAACGAGCGAAACCCUUGUUUUUAGUUACCAGCGGGUUAUGCCGGGUACUCUAGAAAGACUGCCGUCGUCAAGACGGAGGAAGGUGGGGAUGACGUCAAGUCAUCAUGGCCCUUAUGCCCCGGGCUGCACACGUGCUACAAUGGUCGGUACAAACGGAAGCGAAGCCGAGAGGUGAAGCGAAUCCUAAAAAGCCGAUCUCAGUUCGGAUUGGAGGCUGAAAUUCGCCUCCAUGAAGUUGGAAUCGCUAGUAAUCGCGGAUCAGCAUUGCCGCGGUGAAUAUGUUCCCGAGCCUUGUACACACCGCCCGUCAAGCCACCCAAGCAGGAUGCACCCGAAAACAUUAUAUCUAACCAGGUUUACUUGGAGGAAAGUGUUGAAGGAGUGUUUUGUGAGGAGGACUAAGUCGUAACAAGGUAGUCGUAGGAGAACCUGCGGCUG
rnacentral:rRNA from 1 species